GGUCAAGCUACAAAGGGCGCAUGGUGAAUGCCUUGGCAUCAGGAGCCGAUGAAGGACGUGAUAAGCUGCGAUAAGCUUCGGGUAGGCGCACAUAGCCAGAGAUCCGAAGAUUUCCGAAUGAGGAAACUCACAUGGGAAACCCCAUGUAUCCAUAAGUGAAUACAUAGCUUAUGGAAGGUAAACCCAGGGAACUGAAACAUCUAAGUACCUGGAGGAAGAGAAAGAAAAAUCGAUUUUCUUAGUAGCGGCGAGCGAAAGGGAAAGAGCCCAAACCGGAAAUUUAUUUCCGGGGUUGCGGACAGAACAUUAACGAGAAGUUAUGGAUAAUUGAAGAUGACUGGAAAGUCAAGCCAUAGAGUGUAAUAGCCACGUAAGUGAAAUUCAUAAUAAUCAAGUUCUGAUCCAGAGUACCACGAGACACGUGAAACCUUGUGGGAAGCAGGGAGGACCACCUCCCAAGGCUAAAUACUACCUGAUGACCGAUAGUGAAGCAGUACCGUGAGGGAAAGGUGAAAAGAACCCCGGGAGGGGAGUGAAAUAGAACCUGAAACCGUGUGCCUACAACCGGUCAAAGCCCCUUAUGAGGGUGAUGACGUGCUUUUUGUAGAACGAGCCAACGAGUUACGGUAUGUAGCAAGGUUAAGUACUUAAGGUACGGAGCCGAAGGGAAACCGAGUCUUAAUAGGGCGACUAGUUGCAUGCCGUAGACCCGAAACCGGGUGACCUAUCCAUGGCCAGGUUGAAGCGGGGGUAAAACCCCGUGGAGGACCGAACCACGUUGCUGUUGAAAAAGCAUGGGAUGAGCUGUGGAUAGCGGAGAAAUUCCAAUCGAACUCGGAGAUAGCUGGUUCUCCUCGAAAUAGCUUUAGGGCUAGCGUCGGAUAUGAGUAGUGGAGGUAGAGCACUGAAUGGGCUAGGGGGCAUAGCGCUUACCGAACCUUAUCAAACUCCGAAUGCCACAUACUAUUAGUCCGGCAGUCAGACUGCGAAAGAUAAGUUCCGUAGUCAAAAGGGAAACAGCCCAGAUCGUCAGCUAAGGUCCCAAAGUGUAAGUUAAGUGGAAAAGGAUGUGGGAUUUCUAAGACAACUAGGAUGUUGGCUUAGAAGCAGCCACUCAUUAAAAGAGUGCGUAAUAGCUCACUAGUCGAGAGAUCCUGCGCCUGAAGUCGUACCGUAAGGAGCGGUGGACUGAUUACGAGUGAGAAUGUUGGCAUUAGUAGCGAGAUGUGGGUGAGAAUCCCACAGGCCGAAUAUCUAAGGUUUCCUCAGGAAGGUUCGUCCGCUGAGGGUUAGUCGGGACCUAAGCCGAGGCCGAAAGGCGUAGGCGAUGGACAAUCGGUUGAUAUUCCGAUACCACUACUGAUCGUUAUUAUCGAUGGUGUGACGGAGAAGGAUAGAGUGUGCUAGCUAUUGGAUGCUAGUCUAAGCGUUUAGGGAGUUAGGAAAGGCAAAUCCGUCCUAACAAUUCUGAGGCGUGAUGGGGAAGGUUCUACGGAACCGAAGUACUUGAUUCCAUGCUUCCAAGAAAAGCAUCUAGAGAGAGAUGUAGUGCCCGUACCGCAAACCGACACAGGUAGAUGAGGAGAGAAUCCUAAGGCCGGCGGAAGAAUCACAGUUAAGGAACUAGGCAAAUUGACCCCGUAACUUAGGGAGAAGGGGUGCCUGUGAGAGCAGGCCGCAGAGAAUAGGCCCAAGCAACUGUUUAGCAAAAACACAGGUCUCUGCUAAAGCGAAAGCUGAUGUAUAGGGGCUGACGCCUGCCCGGUGCUGGAAGGUUAAGGGGAACACUUAGCGCAAGCGAAGGUGUGAACUUAAGCCCCAGUAAACGGCGGCCGUAACUAUAACGGUCCUAAGGUAGCGAAAUUCCUUGUCAGGUAAGUUCUGACCCGCACGAAUGGCGUAAUGACUUGGGCACUGUCUCAACUGUGAAUCCGGCGAAGUUGUAGUGCGAGUGAAGAUGCUCGCUACCCGCGAUUGGACGGAAAGACCCCGUAGAGCUUUACUGUAGCUUAGCAUUGAAUUUCGGUAUUGUCUGUACAGGAUAGGUGGGAGACUGGGAAAUCAGGGCGUCAGCCUUGAUGGAGUCGUCCUUGGGAUACCACCCUGACAGUACUGAGGUUCUAACUGGAUGCCAUGAAUCUGGUGACAGGACAUUGUUAGGUGGGCAGUUUGACUGGGGCGGUCGCCUCCUAAAAAGUAACGGAGGCGCCCAAAGGUUCCCUCAGAACGGUCGGAAAUCGUUCGAAGAGUGCAAAGGCAGAAGGGAGCCUGACUGCGACACCCACAAGUGGAGCAGGGACGAAAGUCGGGCUUAGUGAUCCGGUGGUACCUCGUGGGAGGGCCAUCGCUCAACGGAUAAAAGCUACCUCGGGGAUAACAGGCUGAUCUCCCCCAAGAGUCCACAUCGACGGGGAGGUUUGGCACCUCGAUGUCGGCUCGUCGCAUCCUGGGGCUGAAGUAGGUCCCAAGGGUUGGGCUGUUCGCCCAUUAAAGCGGCACGCGAGCUGGGUUCAGAACGUCGUGAGACAGUUCGGUCCCUAUCCGUCGCGGGCGUAGGAAAUUUGAGAGGAGCUGUCCUUAGUACGAGAGGACCGGGAUGGACUGACCUCUGGUGCACCAGUUGUUCCGCCAGGAGCACAGCUGGGUAGCUAAGUCGGGAAGGGAUGAACACGAGGUUGAUAGGUCAGAGGUGUAAGUGCAGUAAUGUAUGUAGCUGACUGAUACUAAUAGGUCGAGGGCUUGACCAA
rnacentral:rRNA from 1 species